rnacentral:rRNA from 1 species
AUGCAUAGGAAUCUACCUAGUAGUAUAGGAUAGCCACUAGAAAUGGUGGGUAAUACUGUAUAAUCCCUGCGGGGGAAAGAUUUAUCGCUACAUGAUGAGCCUAUGUUAGAUUAGCUAGUUGGUGGGGUAAUGGCCUACCAAGGCAGUGAUCUAUAGCUGGUCUGAGAGGAUGAUCAGCCACACUGGAACUGAGACACGGUCCAGACUCCUACGGGAGGCAGCAGUGGGGAAUAUUGGACAAUGGGCGCAAGCCUGAUCCAGCUAUGCCGCGUGAGUGAGGAAGGCCUUAGGGUUGUAAAACUCUUUCAGUAGGGAAGAUAAUGACGGU